GCAACCCCAGGUCAGGUGAGGCCACCC
rnacentral:rRNA from 1 species